rnacentral:rRNA from 1 species
ACUCCUACGGGAGGCAGCAGUGGGGAAUUUUGGACAAUGGGCGAAAGCCUGAUCCAGCAAUGCCGCGUGAGUGAAGAAGGCCUUCGGGUUGUAAAGCUCUUUUGUCAGGGAAGAAACGGUGAAAGCUAAUAUCUUUUGCUAAUGACGGUACCUGAAGAAUAAGCACCGGCUAACUACGUGCCAGCAGCCGCGGUAAUACGUAGGGUGCAAGCGUUAAUCGGAAUUACUGGGCGUAAAGCGUGCGCAGGCGGUUUUGUAAGUCUGAUGUGAAAUCCCCGGGCUCAACCUGGGAAUUGCAUUGGAGACUGCAAGGCUAGAAUCUGGCAGAGGGGGGUAGAAUUCCACGUGUAGCAGUGAAAUGCGUAGAUAUGUGGAGGAACACCGAUGGCGAAGGCAGCCCCCUGGGUCAAGAUUGACGCUCAUGCACGAAAGCGUGGGGAGCAAACAGGAUUAGAUACCCUGGUAGUCCCA